UUGAAGCAGUCAGGAAUUAUUUUUAGUCGUUUAAACGAAGAAAUCAAAUUAAUUUUGAGAGCUCUGUGAGUGUAUAUUGACUGUCCACGUAUCAUUGAUGGAGAAAAAACAUCGUACACCUUUGGGCACUUGUCUUUAAUUAGAGUUAAGUAGAGCUGACAGGAUCCCAAACAAAAUACAAGGGAAAAAAAUCUAAGAAACUGUGUAAUUUUCAAGACUAAAUUAAAUUGAUUGGGAAACAACCCAGAGCCACUCCUCGAAGCAAAAUGACGCCUGCUUAGAAAACUACAUGCUCUCUUCCUCCUGGGUCCUCCUUAAAGUUUAGCAAGUUUGGAUCCUGCCGGAGUGGGAGUCAGCACUGGCCCUGCGGGUCUGAAGGUGGUCGCUUCCAUUCCUGGCCAGGUGAACGCGGUCAGGUCUUUAAUGAGCACGGGAUUCCCACACCUCCCGCACCUCCUGCCGCCUUCAAAGCCGCCUCUCCCACCAACACCUGCUGCUCCCUCGGCCACACCCCUUCCUCCAGCGCUUCCGGGCUCUCUCCUGCGACCGUCUGCAUUCUCCAGGAAAAGCGUGGCACCGGGCUGGACGGCCAUCGUUUCCGUGUCUGUGUCCCUCGGAAGACCGUGAACUUGACGGUCUUAACUUCCUAUCUGCAGCUCCUAGCAGCUCCUCGCACUCUGCUGAAUGAAUGGCUAUCAAUCCAACAGCUUUGUGAGCUCUGUGGGUCAGUGGGAGUUAUUUUUUCCUUUCUCGUCGUGUCCAUUCUUGCUAGACAGGCAAAGACCCCGAGAGCAGCCCACCAACGUCCCGCACCCCUGUCUGCUAAAGCUUCUUCCAAGUUCUGCUUCCAGCCCUGUGUUGGCCCCAGACUUCAGUUCGAUUCCAGACCUGACGGCUAAGGGUCUUGCCAUGAAAAUGAAACCUGUGGAGCGUUUCAUUUCUGCAAUACUCAGAGGAAAUAAAAAAGAAUAAUAAAAGUGGAGUGCAAUCAAAGGGCCCAACCUGUGCCCGAGUCGGGGACCCAGGAUAGGGUACAGAAGGCAUGCGACCUCACGGGAGGAAGUCGAAGCUCUGCAGGAGGAAGGGUUACGCUUCACCAAACCCAAAAGCCGAGAGAGGCUCACCGAAAAAGGUGGGAAGCCAGCUGAGCGAGAAAAGGAUUGGCUGCAGGUGGCCCUGACGGGUGUAAAAGGAGCCUUAAUAGCUACCCCACGAGAUGUUUUCACCCGGCCGGCCCAACUCUUGGAGCACUGAGAACACUUGUACAAAAACAAGAAAACACCCAGCAUUUAAGAUGUUCAGAGUCUUAAGUACAGAACAUGCUUCGGACAAAAAGAAUCCACAAGUCGAAUCUGUUUUCGCAUCUCCUUCAGGUGGCCCUGGAAGCGAUUGGCAGAUUGGCGGCUCCCGCUAGUGGCACGUUCCCUGUGACGAGUAUCGUGUUUGGGACCAGAAGCUGUACCACUUCCGAGUUUACCCGUGAAAAACAACAGAAGCCGGAGCCCUGGCGCACGCGGCGCCUGGCGGCCCAGAGCUCCUGUCUCCCGCUCACAACUCCUCCUCUCCACGCGGCAGUCUCCUGAUGGCAGGGACCGGAGUCCACUUCAUAAGUUGGAAAUCUCCCUAAUUCGUCUUUGGAGGAGACAUUCAGUGACCAGCUUUGCUGAGCAAGGUCAGGAAGACUGCAAGAUGCAGCAUCGUGAGCUCUACCCACAAGGGCACCUCGGGGGAAGAACACACCCUCCUAGGACCCAAAACACCUGAGUCCUGCUCAGCUUAUGAGCCAACCACUGGUCUGUGAAGGAACUUGAACAUGUGACUCAGCAUGUCACCGAGGAAAGCAUACAAGAAGAUCAAUUUUGAAAAUGCGUUUGUAGAGCUUAGUGUUGGUGAAUUUGUGUUCCUGCUGCUGCUUGAAUCACAGCUAAAUCCAUGUAUUCCUUCGCCUCUUCAAGUGUUUUGACGUCUACAGGAAAUGACCUCGCCCUGGAAAGCCAAUGAAAGAUGAACCGAAAAUCCGGAACGGCAACCUUGAGGAACUUGAUGGAAGGCACCGACCAUAUUGGGUCAAAUAUAAAAUCAUAGACUUCAGUAAGUACCCUAGUACUUCAAAGCCCAAAUGAUCAAAACCAGGGAAAUGUGAAUUGCAUAAAACUUUUAUUAUUUAUUAGCAGUGUAUUCUU